UUAAGCGACUAAGCGUACACGGUGGAUGCCCUGGCAGUCAGAGGCGAUGAAGGACGUGCUAAUCUGCGAAAAGCGACGGCGAGGUGAUAUGAACCCUUGACCCGUCGAUGUCCGAAUGGGGAAACCCAGUGCAAUCCGUUGCACUAUCGUUAACUGAAUACAUAGGUUAACGAGGCGAACCGGGGGAACUGAAACAUCUAAGUACCCCGAGGAAAAGAAAUCAACCGAGAUUCCCCCAGUAGCGGCGAGCGAACGGGGAGCAGCCCGGAGUCUGAAUCAGCUUGUGUGUUAGUGGAACGGUCUGGAAAGUCCGACGGUACAGGGUGAUAGUCCCGUACACGAAAACACACUUGUUGUGAACUCGAAGAGUAGGGCGGGACACGUGGUAUCCUGUCUGAAUAUGGGGGGACCAUCCUCCAAGGCUAAAUACUCCUGACUGACCGAUAGUGAACCAGUACCGUGAGGGAAAGGCGAAAAGAACCCCGGCGAGGGGAGUGAAAAAGAACCUGAAACCGUGUACGUACAAGCAGUGGGAGCCUCUUUUAUGGGGUGACUGCGUACCUUUUGUAUAAUGGGUCAGCGACUUAUAUUCUGUAGCAAGGUUAACCGUAUAGGGGAGCCGAAGGGAAACCGAGUCUUAACUGGGCGUUAAGUUGCAGGGUAUAGACCCGAAACCCGGUGAUCUAGCCAUGGGCAGGUUGAAGGUUGGGUAACACUAACUGGAGGACCGAACCGACUAAUGUUGAAAAAUUAGCGGAUGACCUGUGGCUGGGGGUGAAAGGCCAAUCAAACCGGGAGAUAGCUGGUUCUCCCCGAAAGCUAUUUAGGUAGCGCCUCGUGAAUUCAUCUUCGGGGGUAGAGCACUGUUUCGGCUAGGGGGCCAUCCCGGCUUACCAACCCGAUGCAAACUACGAAUACCGAAGAAUGUUAUCACGGGAGACACACGGCGGGUGCUAACGUCCGUCGUGAAGAGGGAAACAACCCAGACCGCCAGCUAAGGUCCCAAAGUCAUGGUUAAGUGGGAAACGAUGUGGGAAGGCACAGACAGCCAGGAUGUUGGCUUAGAAGCAGCCAUCAUUUAAAGAAAGCGUAAUAGCUCACUGGUCGAGUCGGCCUGCGCGGAAGAUGUAACGGGGCUAAACCAUGCACCGAAGCUGCGGCAGCGACACUAUGUGUUGUUGGGUAGGGGAGCGUUCUGUAAGCCGUUGAAGGUGGCCUGUGAGGGUUGCUGGAGGUAUCAGAAGUGCGAAUGCUGACAUAAGUAACGAUAAAGCGGGUGAAAAGCCCGCUCGCCGGAAGACCAAGGGUUCCUGUCCAACGUUAAUCGGGGCAGGGUGAGUCGACCCCUAAGGCGAGGCCGAAAGGCGUAGUCGAUGGGAAACAGGUUAAUAUUCCUGUACUUGGUGUUACUGCGAAGGGGGGACGGAGAAGGCUAUGUCAGCCGGGCGACGGUUGUCCCGGUUUAAGCAUGUAGGCGGAGGUUCCAGGUAAAUCCGGUACCUUUUAACGCUGAGGUGUGAUGACGAGGCACUACGGUGCUGAAGUGAUAAAUGCCCUGCUUCCAGGAAAAGCCUCUAAGCAUCAGGUAACACGAAAUCGUACCCCAAACCGACACAGGUGGUCAGGUAGAGAAUACCAAGGCGCUUGAGAGAACUCGGGUGAAGGAACUAGGCAAAAUGGUGCCGUAACUUCGGGAGAAGGCACGCUGAUAUGUAGGUGAAGUCCCUGCGGACGGAGCUGAAAUCAGUCGAAGAUACCAGCUGGCUGCAACUGUUUAUUAAAAACACAGCACUGUGCAAACACGAAAGUGGACGUAUACGGUGUGACGCCUGCCCGGUGCCGGAAGGUUAAUUGAUGGGGUUAGCGGCAACGCGAAGCUCUUGAUCGAAGCCCCGGUAAACGGCGGCCGUAACUAUAACGGUCCUAAGGUAGCGAAAUUCCUUGUCGGGUAAGUUCCGACCUGCACGAAUGGCGUAAUGAUGGCCAGGCUGUCUCCACCCGAGACUCAGUGAAAUUGAACUCGCUGUGAAGAUGCAGUGUACCCGCGGCAAGACGGAAAGACCCCGUGAACCUUUACUAUAGCUUGACACUGAACACUGGUCCUUGAUGUGUAGGAUAGGUGGGAGGCUUUGAAGCGUGGACGCCAGUCUGCGUGGAGCCAACCUUGAAAUACCACCCUUUAAUGGCUGGUGUUCUAACGUAGACCCGUAAUCCGGGUUGCGGACAGUGUCUGGUGGGUAGUUUGACUGGGGCGGUCUCCUCCCAAAGAGUAACGGAGGAGCACGAAGGUUGGCUAAUCCUGGUCGGACAUCAGGAGGUUAGUGCAAUGGCAUAAGCCAGCUUGACUGCGAGCGUGACGGCGCGAGCAGGUGCGAAAGCAGGUCAUAGUGAUCCGGUGGUUCUGAAUGGAAGGGCCAUCGCUCAACGGAUAAAAGGUACUCCGGGGAUAACAGGCUGAUACCGCCCAAGAGUUCAUAUCGACGGCGGUGUUUGGCACCUCGAUGUCGGCUCAUCACAUCCUGGGGCUGAAGUAGGUCCCAAGGGUAUGGCUGUUCGCCAUUUAAAGUGGUACGCGAGCUGGGUUUAGAACGUCGUGAGACAGUUCGGUCCCUAUCUGCCGUGGGCGCUGGAGAAUUGAGGGGGGCUGCUCCUAGUACGAGAGGACCGGAGUGGACGCAUCACUGGUGUUCGGGUUGUCAUGCCAAUGGCACUGCCCGGUAGCUAAAUGCGGAAGAGAUAAGUGCUGAAAGCAUCUAAGCACGAAACUUGCCCCGAGAUGAGUUCUCCCUGAGACUUUAAGUCUCCUGAAGGAACGUUGAAGACGACGACGUUGAUAGGUCGGGUGUGUAAGCGCAGCGAUGCGUUGAGCUAACCGAUACUAAUGAACCGUGAGGCUUAACCUU
rnacentral:rRNA from 1 species